UGCGUAGGCGGCUUUGCAAGUCAGAUGUGAAAUCUAUGGGCUCAACCCAUAGCCUGCAUUUGAAACUGCAGAGCUUGAGUGAAGUAGAGGCAGGCGGAAUUCCCCGUGUAGCGGUGAAAUGCGUAGAGAUGGGGAGGAACACCAGUGGCGAAGGCGGCCUGCUGGGCUUUAACUGACGCUGAGGCACGAAAGGCGUGGGAAGCAAACA
rnacentral:rRNA from 1 species